GAUGAACGCUGACAGAAUGCUUAACACAUGCAAGUCAACUUGAACUUCGGUUUGGGUGGCGGACGGGUGAGUAACGCGUAAAGAACUUGCCUCACAGAUAGGGACAACAUUUGGAAACGAAUGCUAAUACCUGAUAUUAUGAUUUUAGGGCAUCCUAGGAUUAUGAAAGCUAUAUGCGCUGUGAGAGAGCUUUGCGUCCCAUUAGCUAGUUGGAGAGGUAACGGCUCACCAAGGCGAUGAUGGGUAGCCGGCCUGAGAGGGUGAUCGGCCACAGGGGGACUGAGACACGGCCCUUACUCCUACGGGAGGCAGCGGUGGGGAAUAUUGGACAAUGGACCAAGAGUCUGAUCCAGCAAUUCUGUGUGCACGAUGAAGUUUUUCGGAAUGUAAAGUGCUUUCAGUUGGGAAGAAAAAAAUGACGGUACCAACAGAAGAAGAGACGGCUAAAUACGUG
rnacentral:rRNA from 1 species